GGCGAUUGGGCGUUUGAUCAUGGCUCAGAACGAACGCUGGCGGCAGGCUUAACACAUGCAAGUCGAACGCCCCGCAAGGGGAGUGGCAGACGGGUGAGUAACACGUGGGAACGUCCCCCUCGGUUCGGAAUAACUCAGGGAAACUUGAGCUAAUACCGGAUACGUCCGAGAGGAGAAAGAUUUAUCGCCGAGGGAUCGGCCCGCGUCUGAUUAGCUAGUUGGUGAGGUAACGGCUCACCAAGGCGACGAUCAGUAGCUGGUCUGAGAGGAUGACCAGCCACACUGGGACUGAGACACGGCCCAGACUCCUACGGGAGGCAGCAGUGGGGAAUCUUGGACAAUGGGCGCAAGCCUGAUCCAGCCAUGCCGCGUGAGUGAUGAAGGCCUUAGGGUUGUAAAGCUCUUUCGACGGGGACGAUAAUGACGGUACCCGUAGAAGAAGCCCCGGCUAACUUCGUGCCAGCAGCCGCGGUAAUA
rnacentral:rRNA from 1 species